rnacentral:rRNA from 1 species
UUGAUCCUGGUUCAGAUUGAAUGCUGACGGCGUGGAUGAGGCAUGCAAGUCGUACGAAAAAAGACUUCGGUCUUUUUUAGUGGCGAAAGGGUUAGUAAUACAUGGGUAAUCUGCCCCUUACUCAGGGAUAACGGCGGGAAACGGCCGCUAAUACCUAAUGUGGUAGGGCAAGGCAUCUUGCUACUAUUAAAGCGGGGGAUCUUCGGACCUCGCGGUAAGGGAAGAGCCCAUGGGAUAUCAGCUAGUUGGUAGGGUAAUGGCCUACCAAGGCUAAGACGUCUAGGCGGAUUGAGAGAUUGACCGCCAACACUGGGACUGAGAUACUGCCCAGACUCCUACGGGAGGCUGCAGUCGAGAAUCAUUCGCAAUGGGCGAAAGCCUGACGAUGCGACGCCGUGUGAGCGAUGAAGGCCUUAGGGUUGUAAAGCUCUUUCGCCUGGGAACAAGAGAUAGUGGCUAACAUCCAUUAAAUUUGAGGGUACCAGGUAAAGAAGCACCGGCUAACUCCGUGCCAGCAGCUGCGGUAAUACGGAGGGUGCAAGCAUUAAUCGGAUUUAUUGGGCGUAAAGGGCGCGUAGGCGGGUAUGAAAGUCAGAUGUGAAAUCCCAGAGCUCAACUCUGGAACUGCAUCCGAAACUCCAUAUCUUGAGGGUAGACGGAGAAAGCGGAAUUCUACAAGUAGCGGUGAAAUGCGUAGAUAUGAGAGGAACACCGGUGGCGAAGGCGGCUUUCUAGUUUACACCUGACGCUGAGGCGCGAAAGCAAGGGGAGCAAACAGGAUUAGAUACCCUGGUAGUCCUUGCCGUAAACGAUGUAUACUUGGUGUAGUUGGACUCAACCCCGACUGUGCCGAAGCUAACGUGUUAAGUAUACCCCCUGGGGAGUACGCUCGCAAGGGUGAAACUCAAAAGAAUUGACGGGGACCCGCACAAGCAGUGGAGCAUGUGGUUUAAUUCGAUGCAACGCGAAGAACCUUACCUAGGUUUGACAUGUAGUAGACCGCUUCAGAAAUGAAGCUUUUCUUCGGAACUGCUACACAGGUGCUGCAUGGCUGUCGUCAGCUCGUGCCGUGAGGUGUUGGGUUAAGUCCCGCAACGAGCGCAACCCUUAUCAUUAGUUGCCAGCAUUUCGGAUGGGAACUCUAAUGAGACUGCCCGGGUUAACCGGGAGGAAGGUGAGGAUGACGUCAAGUCCGCAUGGCCCUUACAUCUAGGGCUACACACGUGCUACAAUGGCCGGUACAGAAGGUGGCAAUACCGCGAGGUGGAGCAAAUCCCAAAAGCCGGUCUCAGUUCGGAUUGUAGUCUGCAACUCGACUACAUGAAGCUGGAAUUGCUAGUAAUGGCGCGUCAGCAACAGCGCCGUGAAUACGUUCCCGGGUCUUGUACACACCGCCCGUCACACCACGGGAGUUGGUUUCACCCGAAGCCGCCGACCCAACCCGCAAGGGAGGGAAGCGUCGAAGGUGAGGCUGAUGACUAGGAUGAAGUCGUAACAAGGUA